UAUUCGUGAAAAAUACCUCAAAAGUACCUCAAAAAUUCCCAGGUCGUCUGCCCUCCAGGCGGGGGCUCUCUCUGCUAAACCCAGUGCCGGGGCUAGAGAGCUCGGAGGGUUCAGGGAAGCAUUCAGGGGUUCACUGAGUUCUCACAUAGGACAGACACCCCUCUAAGGCAAAUACAGAACAUGAUCUUUAACCAUUCCUGUCAAUAAUAUAUAUAUAUAUAUAUAUAUAUAUAUAUAUAUUUUUUUUUUUUUUUUUGGUCAGCUUUUGCCAGGCCCUGUUGCACAUGCUGUGUGUUUAGUCUUCCCAAUGAUCUGUGAGUCACAUCCUAUUAAAAUCCUCGCUUUAUAGAUGAGAAACUGAGGCAUCGGGAGGUUAAGUAAGGUAUUCAUGUUUAAAAACCUAAAAAUGGCCAGAGCGAAGGUUUAUACCCAACCAAUCUAGCUCAUAAAGCCCCACGUAUUAAUGGUUGUGCUUUACGCUACAUAUGACAAAAGGGAUUUGUGACGAGAGCUCACUUUGAUGAUGGACACUUGUCACCAUCUGCAAGAUGACGCUGACUUUUCUUGAAACUACUGAAGGGCAAGAGGAAGCAAAAACAAAACAAAACAAAAACAAAACAAACAAACAGAGAGAGAACAAACUAAGCCCUUGAUUGUGGACAGACUACAUAUGGACUGAUUAUUAGAAACCCAAGUGUAGGGGGAUCCCUGGAUGGCUCAGCGGUUUAGCGCCUGCCUUCAGCCGAGGGCAUGAUCCUAGAGUCCUGGGAUCGAGUCCCAUGUCGGGCUCCCUGCAUGGAGCCUGCUUCUCCUGCCUGUGUUUCUGCCUCUCUCUCUGUCUCUCGUGAAUAAAUAAAUAAAUAAUCUAAAAAAAAAAAAAAAAGAAGAAAGAAAGAAACCCAAGUGUAGGCUCUAUGUUUGGAAUUCCAUUUUAGCCAGGCGAUUUGCACUAUCACAUCCCUUGUGUCUCCGUGGAGGUGCCCGCUAUGGAAGAAUGGCUGAAUGACCUGAUCAGAAUGGAAUGUAGCAGCCGUCUUAUCUGACCACAGGGAUACCUACCAGGAGAGGAAUGCCUCACUUCCUCAUGAUAAUUUUUGAAGACUUUUCUGAGAAGGUGAUAAUAUUAUCCAAUUACCUCACAAUCACAAGGUUUACUGCAGUGACUGCAAACUGUGUGCCUCAUUCAGCAAGUGUGACAGAAUAAGGAAAAAGAAGAUUGAGAGGUGGGAUCUGGGAGGAAACCAAGGACCCAAACUGAAGGUCAAAUCCUGUGAGAAAUGAAGGGACUUCACCAAACCACCAUCCCACAAGCUCCUGCAUUCCCACCAACUGGUGAUUUUCUUCAUGAUCUUUUAUUUAUUGAUUCAUGAGAGGCACAGAGAGAUACGCAGAGACACAGGCAGAG